ensembl:lncRNA
AUCAAGAUGCAGAAGAAAGUGCUGUUCUUCCCAGGGAGAAUCUGUGUUGUGUUCCGCAAGGGACCACUCGGAUUUCUCCUCCAGGAGCCAUCUAAAGAAGCCAGACGUAUUAAGGAUGAUCCCACUCUGCAGGACAAGUCUGCGCCCAUAAGACAGGACCUUGUGCAGCAGAAUGCUCUGUCUGUGGUCGUUCAGAGAGGAGGGGAUGCCUCUGACAGGACGGAGGUCCUGGGAGACUACAUCCUGCAAUUUGGAAAGUAUAAAGGGAAGUCCUUUAGAUGGCUUUUAGAGAAUGAUGUAGGGUACACUAUGUAUCUCAUCAAGAAUCUUCAGAAGGAGGAGGCGUCAGGCAUCCCUGUGGCCGAGGGGCAUGGCAAGGACAGUCUACUGUCAUUUGUUAAUUAUGCCCUUAGUUUUGAAGAGAUCCAGUCUCUUCUCACCUAUGAGGCCAGUGGAGUGGGUGUUGGGGCAGCCUCAUCGGAAGAUGACCAGCUGGUUGGCUUUGGUUCCCGGGCCAAGAGCACCUGGAAGGAGAUAUGGGAUAGCAGAGCUGAUGGCUACGCAGACUUCAUCAUGAAGAAGAGCUGCGUCCCAGGGACACGCAUGUACAAGCUGCAGCAAUACCUGCGGAAGAGGCAGCAAUCUGCCACUGCUUCCAUACCUGCUGAACAUACCUCAAGGGCCCCAGCAAAACCCCUGGUGAUGGAUGAUGAUGAAGAGCUGGAGAGAGCGAUGUUGAGCAUCUCACCCUCUAAGCUUCAAGUGCAGAGCUGUAAGUAGACUGUUAUUACACAAACCAAAUGUCAGAAUUGAUGAUGGCCUAUGGUCUAUUUUGUAACUGCUGUCUCCCAAUUCAUAUCUCUGUGUUUGUGUGUAACCAGUUGCUGUGCCAGCAGCAGUAGCAGCAGCUGCCAUACCCAGAGUGUCACCAGGAGCAAAGACAGGUUUUUAAAUAGGAGGUUUCAGGACUGGAGUAAGAUGAAUUGCCCUCCAAAACUGAACCUUGACUUAAACUGUUAUAUUGUUUGCGUUCUGGCCAUGUUCCUCCAACAAUAUGGUUGUAUGCUGGCAUUAUACUAACUGUCCUAAGGACUAUGAAUUCCUGCCAUGAUGAAUUACAACCACAAUGAGGGUAAGUGUGCAUUUUUGUUCUGCAUUCAUGUUGUUUAAAGGUACUAACACUUGAAUGCAUGCUUUUUCACUGAGUCAUAUUGCUCCUCCUGCUUAGACUAGUGAGUAGUUUUUAGGAUAGUACGUUUGGUUGGCAUGUCCGCAGGAAAUAAUUCAAUUAAAUUUUAAUUAAUUCAUUAACAGUUAAGAUGGUCUCAAGGCACUUUACAGAACCACUCCCUCUUAACAUUAGAUGAAUUCAUAUACAUAACAGGAUAAAAUAUAUUGACAUGCAAGCAGCAUAUGUGCUUGAUGCAUACAUGAUUCCAAAGAACACGGCUUACAGUGUGCUCAUGGUUACUAUUAGAGGGAUAGGUAGAGAAAAAUAAUAUGGCAAUGUCAAUAAUGGCAUACAUUUAUAUUAUAAGUAUAUAGGUUUGUUACACAGUAUGUAAUUGUACCAUAAACAUUUGUAAAAUUAUGAUAAGCAGGAGAAAGAAACAUAUGGCUGUUUGAGUUCCUACUAACACCAACACUAUACUACUAACAUAUAUUGUGAAUUUUGAAAUGACUGAUGAUUUUGUCUGUUAUAGUUCCAUCUGCGGCACUGUCCAAACCAACUCCUGAUACAACUGCUGAAUUGCAGGCAUCACCAGUUGAUGGUAAAAUCAAUAAUCAAGGUCAUGUAAUCAAAUGUUGAGUUAAUUGCGGUUACAUAAAAAUAAUAAUUGGUCUAUUUGCGUUCUUGUAGCUCCAGCCUCUCCAAGCCUAAAGAGGAAGACACCUGUGCCCCUUCCAGCAGAACUGACGUUCCUAGUGAAGGAGACAACAGCAGAAAAGCUUAAGGCAAUGCCAGGUAUGUUUCCAUUUUAGUGUAGGGCUGAUGCUCAGUUACACAUCUGCUCAGUGCAUUGCAGAUUUAGCUCAGUAACAUUUUCACAAACACAUCCUAAAUUUGCCAUCAUAUCAUGAUGUCAGUAGCCUGUACAAAUGCAAAAAUCAAUGACUGCACUUUGUUUCAGAACUCUGCACAAGUGCUGCUGUCACCUCUGCACGCAAAGUGCUUGCCUUUGAGGAGAGUAGUGAAAAUGGUAAGAAUAAACAGCAUGUAGACAGCCCCUCUAUUUUGUGAACUCCUGACACUAAGAUGUUGUCUUAACUCUGCUUUAAUCAUUUCAUUUAUUUACAUUACUUCCAUAUUAACUAUGCAAUCUAUCAUAAUAAUCAGGGCAUUACAUUCUUUUUGCCUAUCCAUUUUUCUUUUUAAAUCCUAGUUCCCUCAGCUCAGCCACCUGUUCCUGUUCUCC